rnacentral:rRNA from 1 species
AACGUAGGGGGCAAGCGUUGCUCGGAUUCACUGGGUGUAAAGGGCGCGUAGGCGGAUAAACAAGUCGGAUGUGAAAUCCCGGGGCUCAACCCCGGAGCUGCAUCCGAAACUGUUUAUCUGGAGUAGUGGAGAGGAAAGCGGAACUCCUGGUGUAACGGUGAAAUGUGUAGAUAUCAGGAGGAACGCCGAUAGCGAAGGCAGCUUUCUGGACACUUACUGACGCUGAGGCGCGAAAGCGUGGGGAGCAAACAGG